AGAGUUUGAUCCUGGCUCAGAAUCAACGCUGGCGGCGCGCCUAACACAUGCAAGUCGAACGAGAAAGGGGAGCAAUCCCUGAGUACAGUGGCGUACGGGUGAGUAACACGUGGGUAAUCUACCUCUUAGUGGGGAAUAACCCUGGGAAACCGGGGCUAAUACCGCAUAAGUCCGAGAGGAGAAAGCAGCGAUGCGCUGGG
rnacentral:rRNA from 1 species